rfam:Felis catus isolate Cinnamon breed Abyssinian chromosome B2, whole genome shotgun sequence.
GCCUGGGUGGCUCAAUCAGUUGAGCAUCUGACUUCAGCUCAGGUCAUGAUCUCCCUGUUCGUGAGUUCGAGCCCCGCAUCGGGCU